UGUGAUGGGGAGCGAAAUUUAGUAGCGAAGUAGCUGAUUUCACACUGUCAAGAAAAGUCUCUAUCGAGGUUAAAGGUACCCGUACCGCAAACCGACACAGGUGGGUGAGGAGAGUAUCCUAAGGCCAGCGAGAGAACUGUUGUUAAGGAACUCGGCAAAAUGACCCCGUAACUUAGGGAUAAGGGGUGCCACCAUCCGGUGGCCGCAGAGAAUAGGCUCAAGCGACUGUUUACCAAAAACAUAGGGUUCUGCUAAGUCGCAAGACGAUGUAUAGGAGCUGACGCCUGCCCGGUGCUGGAAGGUUAAGGGGAUCUGUUAGAGCAAUCGAAGCAGUGAACUUAAGCCCCAGUAAACGGCGGCCGUAACUAUAACGGUCCUAAGGUAGCGAAAUUCCUUGUCGGGUAAGUUCCGACCCGCACGAAAGGCGUAACGAUUUGGGCACUGUCUCAACAACAGACUCGGUGAAAUUGUAAUUCCGGUGAAGAUGCCGGAUACCUGCGACAGGACGGAAAGACCCCAUGGAGCUUUACUGUAGCUUGACAUUGGGUCUUGGUACUACAUGUACAGGAUAGGUGGGAGGCUUUGAAACCAGGACGCCAGUUUUGGCGGAGCCAUCCUUGGGAUACCACCCUUGUAGUACUGGGACUCUAACCAUAGGCCAUGAAUCUGGUCUUGGGACACUGUCAGGUGGGCAGUUUGACUGGGGCGGUCGCCUCCCAAAAGGUAACGGAGGCGCUCAAAGGUUCUCUCAGUACGGUCGGAAAUCGUACGUAGAGUGUAAAGGC
rnacentral:rRNA from 1 species